UUCGUAACGUAAUUUGGACGCUAUGGCUAUGAGCAAAGAAAUUCAAAAAGAUCUUGUAUCGUUCCUUAGGUCACAAGAAAGAAGUGACAGAUUAAACGAAAAAAAAGGCGUGAUCGUAUAUUAAGUGCCUCCGCGGGAACAGGAAUGCGAUUACGUGGUCUUUAUCAAAAGAAAAAACCACUCCUUCAGUUUCGAAUCAAAAGAAGAAAAGUGAUACUGAAGUGACAGCAGAACCAUCAUGCACUUCAACCGUAAAUAUUCCAAAUACGUUGAACGGCUCUUUACUUGAGUCUCAGUCUAGUAUACCAUCAGCAGUUGACAAUGUUGCUGAAGAUCGUUAUAAUCAUGUUAAUGAAAAGUAAACUUCAUUGAAAGCCAAGAGUCUUACAUUGCAGAGGAAGCCGAAGAAAGUUUGAAUCCUAAAUCAGACUGGACUCACAGAGUGAGUGAAAUCCACCAAGACUGGGCAUCUGUUAAGCAGAAUUUUCUUGAAGCUUUCGUCUCUUCACAACGUUUUGUAGCUUCUUGGUGUGCUGAUUGCCAAGAUCCAGUCUUGCAGCACUACAUUUGCUGUAGCAGUUGUCGAAAGAAGAGAUGUGAAAAAUGUGAUCAACUAUUUCACAAAUCAGAACCAUUUCACCUGCGUACCAUGUACAAUGAAGAUACUUCCAUGAUUCUCAAGCCAGAAGAAUUUAUCUCGUGUGGUGAUGUUGUGACUUAAGAUAUCCCAGUUCCUUGCUUCUCAGCCUUAUUUGAUUGCAAGAAGUGUAAGUGUUUAAUAGCUUAUACAGUUACAGCUGGUAAAAAGAGAGUAGUGAUCAUUACAAAAGACGGCAGAUUUGAUCUUCAUUUCCCACAGUUCACUUGUGCUGAAUGUGGCGAGCAACAAUGUGCCAAUGAGGCAGAUUUUGUCGGAGUUCACAAACAAUCGAGCCAUCAACAAAUUACUAAAUUUUGUUUUGGAAGUCUGUGAUGCAUGAACGAAUAAUCUAUUACAUACACAUAUUUAACUGAA